rnacentral:misc_RNA from 1 species
UUCCUUCUUCAAGACGUGAUCAUUAUAAGCCCCCCAGAUCCUGACAGUACCGGAGACAUCAGCAGAAGCGAUCCAGUCGCCGUUAGGGGAGUAGCGAGCGACAGUAGCCUGAUAAGCAUGGUCGCCAUAUACGGAGACGUCGAGAGGGUUAUCGAGGUUGAGGAUAAGAACUGAUCGGUUGUUGGUGAAGAGGAUGGAAUUG